rnacentral:rRNA from 1 species
UAGGGAAUAUUAGAAAUGGACGAAAGUCUGAUCUAGCAACACCGCGUGUGCGAAGAAGGCCUUCGGGUUGUAAAGCACUUUUUGGAAGGAUUAGGAAGGAAUGUACUUCCAGAAUAAGUCUCGGCUAACUACGUGCCAGCAGCCGCGGUAACACGUAGGAGGCAAACGUUAUCCGGAUUUACUGGGCGUAAAGCGCGUGUAGGUGGUUUGGUAAGUAGAGCGUGAAAGCUCCUGGCUCAACUGGGAGAGGUCGUUCUAAACUGCCGGACUAGAGGAUGGUAGAGGGAGGUGGAAUUCCAGGUGUAGCGGUGGAAUGCGCAGAUAUCUGGAGGAACACCAGUGGCGAAGGCGGCCUCCUGGACCAUUCCUGACACUCAGACGCGAAAGCGAGGGUAGCAAACG